rnacentral:rRNA from 1 species
UACGUAGGGUGCAAGCGUUAAUCGGAAUUACUGGGCGUAAAGCGUGCGCAGGCGGUUAUGUAAGACAGGUGUGAAAUCCCCGGGCUUAACCUGGGAACUGCAUUUGUGACUGCAUAGCUAGAGUACGGUAGAGGGGGAUGGAAUUCCGCGUGUAGCAGUGAAAUGCGUAGAUAUGCGGAGGAACACCGAUGGCGAAGGCAGCCCCCUGGGUCAAAAACUGACGCUCAUGCACGAAAGCGUGGGGAGCAAACAGG